rnacentral:rRNA from 1 species
UACAGAGGGCUCGAGCGUUGUUCGGAUUCAUUGGGCGUAAAGCGCGUGUAGGCGGUCUGGUAAGUUCGUUCUGAAAGCCUGGGGCUCAACCCCAGGAGGCGGAUGGAUACUGUCAGGCUCGAGUUCGGAAGAGGCGAGUGGAAUUCCCGGUGUAGCGGUGAAAUGCGCAGAUAUCGGGAGGAACACCAAUGGCGAAGGCAGCUCGCUGGGACGUUACUGACGCUGAGACGCGAAAGCGUGGGGAGCAAACAGG